rnacentral:misc_RNA from 1 species
GUGAGUCAUCGAAUCUUUGAACGCACAUUGCGCCCCGUGGUAUUCCGCGGGGCAUGCCUGUUCGAGCGUCAUUUCACCACUCCAGCCUCGCUGGGUAUUGGGCGCCGCGGUCCCCCGCGCGCCUCAAAGUGCUCCGGCCGAGCCGUCCGUCUCACCGCGUCGUGAUUUCCAAUCUCGCGAUUGAGCCCGGACGGCCGCGGCCGUUAAACUCCUUAUACAGGUUGACCUCGGAUCAGGUAGGGAUACCCGCUGAACUUAAGCAUAUCAAUAAGCGGAGGA